UGUGAAAACAUCAGAGAACUUCUGCUGGUGUUAGACAGAAUCCAGCUGAAAAGAUUGAGCCCCAGCUUUACUCUGUCCAUCAUUAUGGAGAUUUAUGAGACUCGUUUUCCUCAGUAUGUGUCCAGUCUGAUGAGUUCGGCAGGAAAUGACAUCAACCUGAGCGGCAGAGUGUUGGACUCUGUUCACUGCGCUGCCCUGCGCUUCACUCUAGAGCACUGCAACACUAUCAAACUCAAUCUGCUCUGGACCUCCAUACCAGAGGAGGAGCUGGAGAGCUUUCUGCCUUUGCUUAACAAAGUCAAACUACUCAGUGUUGACAGGCUGCUGCUGCUGAAGCUGCUUCAUUGCUGCAGUUCAUCUGAUCUCCAGCAGGAGGCAGCAGCUGCUCUGCUCUCUGCUCUUC